UCUCACGUAAUUGUCGAGGGUAAAAAUGUAAAUUUAUUGUCGGAAGUGAAGUUAGGCUAGUUAGCUUAGCACGCAUGCGGACGAUGAGUAGUAGGCUCAAUUCAGCACAACGUCCAAGAAACGCUCAAGAAAACUGGGAUUUGAGAGACAGCCUCACUCCAUUUUCAUUCUCACUUAUGCUUUCGUAUUUCUCGCAAUUUACCGAGAAAAUCUCACGUCAUUUCCAAGAAAAAGCCCUGCCACCGUAUCGUUUCCAACCUCAAGCUGUGAUAAGAGAUGUUUCCUCCGGCUGAGGACGCUCCCGAUCUAGGGAUCCCACCCAACCGCGGCCCUCUGCCCGUCAGGACAAACCCUAACUCUGAACCUAACACUCGCGUUCGCUCCGGCCAUCGACGCAAUGCCCGGCCGCAGGGGAUUCGGGGGGCCCGAGCUCACCGAGGCGCUAUAACAAAAUCGGCGUGACAGAGCAGGAGUGGUCGUUUCUUGACGGAAUUAAGUCUGGGACAUCGUUGAAGUUCGGGUAGGAAAGUUUGUUAAGGAGGUUUGGAGAGAGAGACGGACUCGAUCAGUUGCGGUCAGAAAUUAGGAUCGGCGUUCGGAGGCCUAGGCUUGCUCUUGUGAGUUUUUGCUUUGAGAAUAGAGAAUGUUUGUGUGAGGUAUGAUUGUUGGUGAUUUAUUUUACUGAGUCUUUCUGUUUUAGCUGUUGCAAUUGGGAUUGAAUUCUUUGUGUUUGAUUUGAUUCUUCUUGAAUAAUGUUAGAGAAUCUUGUUGUUGUGGGAA